UUGAACGCUGGCGGCAUGCCUUACACAUGCAAGUCGAACGGCAGCACGGGAGCAAUCCUGGUGGCGAGUGGCGAACGGGUGAGUAAUAUAUCGGAACGUGCCCAGUCGUGGGGGAUAACGUAGCGAAAGCUACGCUAAUACCGCAUACGAUCUACGGAUGAAAGCGGGGGAUCGCUAGACCUCGCGCGAUUGGAGCGGCCGAUAUCAGAUUAGGUAGUUGGUGGGGUAAAAGCCCACCAAGCCGACGAUCUGUAGCUGGUCUGAGAGGACGACCAGCCACACUGGAACUGAGACACGGUCCAGACUCCUACGGGAGGCAGCAGUGGGGAAUUUUGGACAAUGGGCGAAAGCCUGAUCCAGCCAUGCCGCGUGCGGGAAGAAGGCCUUCGGGUUGUAAACCGCUUUUGUCAGGGAAGAAAUCCUUUGAGCUAAUACCUCAGAGGGAUGACGGUACCUGAAGAAUAAGCACCGGCUAACUACGU
rnacentral:rRNA from 1 species